ACUAUUUGUCAACUGUAAGUUUCAAAUUGUCAGUUUGCUUUAAAAAUAUGUUUACGCAAAUUUUAUUUAUUUUUCUUCAGUCUUAAAGCCUCAUAGGCAUCUUUGAUAAUGAUACAACUUUAAUAUACAAUUUUGAAUUCGUUGUUUUGACGAUUCUCGAUUUAAAGUUGUUUGUACAAUAGACAUUGUAUCAAAAGACGGGUGCUAAUUUUCUUUCGAGCACGAUUUUCCCUUUUCCUUGAGAUCGUUUAGCUCUCAGAGUUUCCGGGAAAGAUCACAUUCUCGUGAUGUUGAAAUCAGGCUGUUUCCUGUCCUAAAUUCAUUCCUGAACCUUCAAGUGACAAUCCGUCUGCUCAUAUUCAGCCCCAGAAGGCAACCUAUGCAAUCCUAUAAACACCGGUGCACUCCUCUCUAUUUGCUGAAGGAUUCGACGGAAUUUUAAGAAAUCGUCACCAUGUUCGAAUUACGUGGAGAAUACACGAUAAAUCGUGGUUAAAAGGACACGUGAAGUAUUGGCGAGAUCGAUGAGGACAGAGAAAUAAAAAAGAAUCACUCCUGGAUGUUUGCACAUUCGGAGGAUGGACAUAAAUGCAAAUUCAAGGCUAACUUAUCAAAGUGGACGAGUGAACGUGGCGAACUCUGAACUCUUAUGAACUCUUCUCCAUUUGACGACCGCGCAGAAGUGAAGAAAGAGAAAGGAAAAAAGAAUUCAAUUGUCCUGUCAACCGCGCAUUCAAUGCCAUUGGGACUACCGUCUUUAGAAGGACCGGAAGUAACUGUUCCAAAGUCUGUUGGUCUUUCACAGAGUAAUGGACGAUGGACAAUUUUAUUUCUUGGUUCGGUAGCUCGAAACGAGAAGAUAUUGUCGACGCUGAUUAAAGUGACUCUGCUCUGGGACUCUUUCACCUUAAUAAAUUAGUCUCUCGUCUGACCUAUCUCCUUUGGAAUCUCCAGUAGACGGAACAAACUACACCGUCAACCUAUAAUUACAGUACCAGUUAGUCAGCCAACUUAGAACACUAUUAGGCUUCACAGAGAAUGCGCAGUUAGAUCUGCUAAUUGCGAAUAUUAGACAUAUUAUUAGAAUAUCUUAGUAUAACUGAGUACUUUGUAUCAGUCUGACGAAUACAGCAAAUUCCUGAGAUUAAUGAUUUUAGCUACCCCGCUAUGUCUGACUCUAUUGGAUAGUGACAGCAAACUUUCCACCGUCAUCUUGAAUAAUCAUCGUUCACGUCCUUGUGUAAACUUAUAUUCCAACUAGAUAAUGAAUUGAUUCUACUUCGUUCCCAGGGGGAUACGUCAAGAUUGUUAACUACGUUAGCGAAUAUUUACUGAUAACAGCCAAUAGCUAAACGCUCUCGAUGGUUCUUCUUUAGUGCUAUAAAUUUAUUUCGGACUCCUCAAAUUCGACAUAAUUCAAACUAACUUAUUGCGUAUUGAAAUAUUUGCCAUCCAACAUCAUAGUGCACUUUACUAUUGCAUUUGCGGCCAUUCACGCACAUCUCGAUAAUAAUUACUCAUGGUAUCCAGUAGCUUGAUCCUUCUGCCUGUUUAGCUAAACGAAAUAUUGCUCAAGCACAUGUUCGAUAAUAAUUAUUAAAUAAUCCGAUGGUAUAUGCACCUAAGCUCCAUAAGGAUAUCAUGCCAAUUAUUUUACAUUUUGUACGUUGACAACGGACUGAAGAUUUAUUGCAAAUGAUAAUUCUACACUGUUAAAAAAAAUCUUUGGUAAAAUUCAUAAACAUGUGCAGGAAGCUCUUUUACGGAAACCGUUUAUGAUAUUUCAAAAAACACCAUUGAAUGUUAAAUAACUUGUAAAUUAAAAGUGAAGUCAUCGAACAGUAAUAUUACAAUUCAAGUAUUGUAAUUUUCAGUCCU